GACGAACGCUGGCGGCGUGCCUAAUACAUGCCAGUUGAGCGCUGAAGGUUGGUACUUGUACCAAGUGCAUGAGCAGCGAACGGGUGUGUCACGCGAGGGGACUCUGCCUUUGAGCGGGGUACAACAUGUGGAAACGAAUUCUAACACCGCAUAAAAACCUGAAACACAAGGUUUAUGUUUGAAAGUUGCAAUUGCAUCACUCAAAGAUGAUCCCUCGUUGUAUUGGCUAGUUCGUGAGGUAAAGGCUCACCAAGGCGAUGAAACAUAGCCGACCUGAGAGGGUGCUCGGCCAGCUUGGGACUGUGACACGGCCCAAUCGGCUUCGGGAGGCAGCAAUAGGGAAACUUCGGGCAUGAGCGGAAGUCUGACCGCGCAGCGCCGCAGCAGUGAAGAAGGUUUUCGGGUCGUAAAACUCUGUUGGUAGAGAAGAACCUUGGUGCGAGUGGAACGCACAGCGAGUGACGGUAACGACCAAGAAAGCAACGGCUAACUACGUG
rnacentral:rRNA from 1 species